rnacentral:rRNA from 1 species
UACGGGGGGGCAAGCGUUGUUCGGAAUUACUGGCGUAAAGGGCUCGUAGGUGGCCAACUAAGUCAGACGUGAAAUCCCUCGGCUUAACCGGGGAACUGCGUCUGAUACUGGAUGGCUUGAGUUUGGGAGAGGGACGCGGAAUUCCAGGUGUAGCGGUGAAAUGACGUAGAUAUCUGGAGGAACACCGGUGGCGAAGGCGGCGUCCUGGACCCAACACGUGACACUGAGGAGCGAAAGCCAGGGAGCAAACGGG